rnacentral:rRNA from 1 species
GUGGGGAAUAUUGGACAAUGGGCGAAAGCCUGAUCCAGCCAUGCCGCGUGUGUGAAGAAGGUCUUCGGAUUGUAAAGCACUUUAAGUUGGGAGGAAGGGCAGUAAGUUAAUAUCUUGCUGUUUUGACGUUACCGACAGAAUAAGCACCGGCUAACUUCGUGCCAGCAGCCGCGGUCAUACGAAGGGUGCAAGCGUUAAUCGGAAUUACUGGGCGUAAAGCGCGCGUAGGUGGUUUUGUAAGUUGGAGGUGAAAUCCCCGGGCUCAACCUGGGAACUGCCUCCAAAACUGCAUGACUAGAGUACGGUAGAGGGUAGCGGAAUUUCCUGUGUAGCGGUGAAAUGCGUAGAUAUAGGAAGGAACACCAGUGGCGAAGGCGACUACCUGGACUGAUACUGACACUGAGGUGCGAAAGCGUGGGGAGCAAACAGGAUUAGAUACCCCUGUAGUCC